rnacentral:sRNA from 1 species
AACUCUGUGAAGAGGAUCUCAGGGCGCCA